AACGAACGCUGGCGGCGUGUUUAGGACAUGCAAGUCGCACGGGACUAUUUGAGUAGCAAUACAAGGAUAGUUUAGUGGCGCACGGGUGAGUAACACGUGAAUUACAUGCCCUGCAGAGGGGGAUAGCCCAGGGAAACUUGGAUUAAUACCCCAUGGUAUCGCGAGAUUAAAGGUGGCCGCAAGGCUGUCGCUGCAGGAUUGGUUCGCGCCCUAUCAGCCUGUUGGUGAGGUAACGGCUCACCAAGGCUACGACGGGUACCGGGUCUGAGAGGACGAUCAGGCACACUGGAACGGAGACACGGUCCAGACACCUACGGGUGGCAGCAGUCGAGAAUAAUUCACGAUGGGGGCAACCCUGAUGGUGCAACGCCGCGUGGAGGAUGAAGGUCUUCGGAUUGUAAACUCCUGUCAUCCGGGAGUAAGACCUGGCGAUGAAUAGUCGACAGGGUUGAUAGUACCGGAAGAGGAAGGGACGGCUAACUUCGUGCCAGCCGCCGCAGUAA
rnacentral:rRNA from 1 species